rnacentral:rRNA from 1 species
UACGGGGGGUGCGAGCGUUGUCCGGAAUCACUGGGCGUAAAGGGCGCGUAGGUGGUUUGAUAAGGGUGUGGUGAAAGUCCGGGGCUCAACCCCCGGAUCUGCCGUGCCGACUGUCAAACUCGAGGACUGUAGAGGCAGACGGAAUUCCGGGUGUAGCGGUGGAAUGCGUAGAGAUCCGGAGGAAGACCGGUGGCGAAGGCGGUCUGCUGGGCAGU